rnacentral:lncRNA from 1 species
AGAAAACCAGCAUUAAAACCCAAAUAGGAGGAGAGAUUUACAAUUUCAUAGGGGAUGCAUUAGAAGAGUAGAAGUUGCACUUACUAGGAUUUAUGAAUUGACCUGAAGCUUAAGCAUAAUCAUUGAUUAGAUGUCUCAAAUCAAGUAACUCUCUCUUGACUCCUUUGCAAAAAAUAAGAAUAUCAUCCGCAUACAACACAUGACUAGGGGUGCUAAGACCAUUAGGACAAGAUAUGGUACUAAGUUUAUUGUUAGCCACCAGUUUGGAAAUACCCCUACUCAACACAUCUUCAGCUAAGCAAAAGAUCAAAGGGGAAAGAAGAUCUCCCUACCUCACACCCC